rnacentral:tRNA from 1 species
UCCUGUAGCUCAAUGGUAGAGCGUUCGACCGAUGUGCGAAAGGUCAUAGGUUAGACUCCUGUUGGCGAAA